GUGGGGAAUAUUGGACAAUGGGCGAAAGCCUGAUCCAGCCAUGCCGCGUGUGUGAAGAAGGUCUUCGGAUUGUAAAGCACUUUAAGUUGGGAGGAAGGGCAGUAAGUUAAUACCUUGCUGUUUUGACGUUACCGACAGAAUAAGCACCGGCUAACUUCGUGCCAGCAGCCGCAGUAAUACGAAGGGUGCAAGCGUUAAUCGGAAUUACUGGGCGUAAAGCGCGCGUAGGUGGUUUUGUAAGUUGGAGGUGAAAUCCCCGGGCUCAACCUGGGAACUGCCUCCAAAACUGCAUGACUAGAGUAUGGUAGAGGGUAGUGGAAUUUCCUGUGUAGCGGUGAAAUGCGUAGAUAUAGGAAGGAACACCAGUGGCGAAGGCGACUACCUGGACUGAUACUGACACUGAGGUGCGAAAGCGUGGGGAGCAAACAGGAUUAGAAACCCGGGUAGUCC
rnacentral:rRNA from 1 species